rnacentral:rRNA from 1 species
AACGAACGCUGGCGGCAUGCCUAACACAUGCAAGUCGAACGAGACCUUCGGGUCUAGUGGCGCACGGGUGCGUAACGCGUGGGAACCUGCCCUUAGGUUCGGAAUAACUCCCCGAAAGGGGUGCUAAUACCGGAUAAUGUCUUCGGACCAAAGAUUUAUGGCCUUUGGAUGGGCCCGCGUUGGUUUAGCUAGUUGGUAGGGUAAAAGCCUACCAAGGCGACGAUCCAUAGCUGGUCUGAGAGGAUGAUAAGCCAGAAUGGGACUGAGGCACGGCCCAGACCGCUACGGGAGAGUGCGGAGUAGUGUAUAGUGGGAGGGAGCAAGAUGUAGAAACGCAGUGCGGCGUAAGUGGUGAAGCGGGUAGUAAAGUAAUUCUGUCUGUCCCGAGAUGAGAGUGACGGUACCGGGAAAAUAAGCACCGGCUAACUACGUG